UACAACAGGUGUAGUAGACCUUACAGUGAAAUGCUGAAUACAACAGGUGUAGUAGACCUCACAGUGAAAUACUGAAUACAACAGGUGUAGUAGACCUUACAGUGAAAUGCUGAAUACAACAGGUGUAGUAGACCUUACAGUGAAAUGCUGAAUACAACAGGUGUAGUAGACCACACAGUGAAAUACUGAAUACAACAGGUGUAGUAGACCUCACAGUGAAAUGCUGAAUACAACAGGUGUAGUAGACCUUACAGUGAAAUGCUGAAUACAACAGGUGUAGUAGACCUUACAGUGAAAUGCUGAAUACAACAGGUGUAGUAGACCUUACAGUGAAAUGCUGAAUACAACAGGUGUAGUUAGACCUCACAGUGAAAUGCUGAAUACAACAGGUGUAGUAGACCUCACAGUGAAAUGCUGAAUACAACAGGUGUAGUAGACCUCACAGUGAAAUGCUGAAUACAACAGGUGUAGUAGACCUUACAGUGAAAUGCUGAAUACAACAGGUGUAGUAGACCUCACAGUGAAAUACUGAAUACAACAGGUGUAGUAGACCUUACAGUGAAAUGCUGAAUACAACAGGUGUAGUAGACCUCACAGUGAAAUGCUGAAUACAACAGGUGUAGUAGACCACACAGUGAAAUACUGAAUACAACAGGUGUAGUAGACCUCACAGUGAAAUGCUGAAUACAACAGGUGUAGUAGACCUUACAGUGAAAUACAACAGGUGUAGUAGACCUUACAGUGAAAUGCUGAAUACAACAGGUGUAGUAGACCUUACAGUGAAAUGCUGAAUACAACAGGUGUAGUAGACCUUACAGUGAAAUGCUGAAUACAACAGGUGUAGUAGACCUCACAGUGAAAUGCUGAAUACAACAGGUGUAGUAGACCUCACAGUGAAAUGCUGAAUACAACAGGUGUAGUAGACCUAACAGUGAAAUGCUGAAUACAACAGGUGUAGUAGACCUCACAGUGAAAUGCUGAAUACAACAGGUGUAGUAGACCUUACAGUGAAAUGCUGAAUACAACAGGUGUAGUAGACCUUACAGUGAAAUGCUGAAUACAACAGGUGUAGUAGACCUCACAGUGAAAUGCUGAAUACAACAGGUGGAGUAGACCUAACAGUGAAAUGCUGAAUACAACAGGUGUAGUAGACCUCACAGUGAAAUGCUGAAUACAACAGGUGUAGUAGACCU